AGUGAACGCUGGCGGUAGGCCUAACACAUGCAAGUCGAACGGCAGCACAGUAAGAGCUUGCUCUUACGGGUGGCGAGUGGCGGACGGGUGAGGAAUACAUCGGAAUCUACUUUUUCGUGGGGGAUAACGUAGGGAAACUUACGCUAAUACCGCAUACGACCUACGGGUGAAAGCAGGGGAUCUUCGGACCUUGCGCGAUUGAAUGAGCCGAUGUCGGAUUAGCUAGUUGGCGGGGUAAAGGCCCACCAAGGCGACGAUCCGUAGCUGGUCUGAGAGGAUGAUCAGCCACACGGGAACUGAGACACGGUCCAGACUCCUACGGGGGGCAGCAGUGGGGAAUAUUGGACAAUGCGCGCAAGCCUGAUCCAGCCAUACCGCGUGAGUGAAGAAGGACUUCGGGUUGUAAAGCCCUGUUGUUGGGAAAGAAAAGAAGCAGGUUAAUACCCCGCUGUUCUGACGGUACCCAAAGAAUAAGCACCGGCUAACUUCGUG
rnacentral:rRNA from 1 species